rnacentral:rRNA from 1 species
UUUCCUACGGGGGUCAGCAGUGAGUAAUCUUGGUCCCUUUUCUCGAGCCUGAACCAGCCAAGUAGCGUGAAGGAUGACUGCCCUACGGGUUGUAAACUUCUUUUAUAAAGGAAUAAAGUGAGGCACGUAUGCCUUUUUGUAUGUACUUUAUGAAUAAGGAUCGGCUAACUCCGUGCCAGCAGCCGCGGUAAUACGGAGGAUCCGAGCGUUAUCCGGAUUUAUUGGGUUUAAAGGGAGCGUAGAUGGGUUGUUAAGUCAGUUGUGAAAGUUUGCGGCUCAACCGUAAAAUUGCAAUUGAUACUGGC